AGAGUUUGAUCCUGGCUCAGAUUGAACGCUGGCGGCAUGCCUUACACAUGCAAGUCGAACGGCAGCACGGGAGCAAUCCUGGUGGCGAGUGGCGAACGGGUGAGUAAUAUAUCGGAACGUGCCCAGUAGUGGGGGAUAGCCCGGCGAAAGCCGGAUUAAUACCGCAUACGACCUGUGGGUGAAAGCGGGGGAUCGCAAGACCUCGCGCUAUUGGAGCGGCCGAUAUCAGAUUAGCUUGUUGGUGGGGUAAAAGCCCACCAAGGCGACGAUCUGUAGCUGGUCUGAGAGGACGACCAGCCACACUGGGACUGAGACACGGCCCAGACUCCUACGGGAGGCAGCAGUGGGGAAUUUUGGACAAUGGGCGCAAGCCUGAUCCAGCCAUGCCGCGUGUGGGAAGAAGGUCUUCGGGUUGUAAACCACUUUUGUCAGGGAAGAAACGGUUUGACUUAAUACGUUGAACUAAUGACGGUACCUGAAGAAUAAGCACCGGCUAACUACGUGCCAGCAGCCGCGGUAAUACGUAGGGUGCAAGCGUUAAUCGGAAUUACAGGGCGUAAAGCGUGCGCAGGCGGCUUUGCAAGACAGAUGUGAAAUCCCCGGGCU
rnacentral:rRNA from 1 species